rnacentral:tRNA from 2 species
GGGGCUAUAGCUCAGUUGGGAGAGCAUUUGUCUGGCAGACAAAGGGUCACGGGUUCGAGCCCCGUUAGCUCCACCA